GGCCCCCAAAGGGAGUUGCACUAUUAGGAGGUGUGGCCUUGUUGGAGUGGGUGUGGUCUCAUUGGAGGAAGUGCAUCGCUGUGGAGGCGGGCUUUGAGGGCUCACAUGUGCUCAAGAUACCACUGAAUGUCUCAGAUAACUUCCUGUUGCCUGCAAGAUACAGGACUCUCAGCUACUUCUCCAGCACCAUGUCUUCCUGCACACCACAUUGUCCCACUAUGAUGACAAUGGACUGAACCUCUGAACUGUGUGAAUGAACCACGGUACAAGCCUCUGCUGCUGUGGACUGAACUGAUGCAGUCAUCACACCUUCCUUGCUAUGGUGCACCAUUCUGCUGAACUAUGAGCCCAAAUAAAGCUCUUAUCCUGUCUCCAUUUCCUAAUUUGAAAAAAAGAUCCAGUGGUGACUCAUGCUCCUAAUCCCAGCAUUUGGGAGGCUGAGGCAGGAGGAUUGCUGUGAGUUCUCUGCUUCAGACAGAAGCUACUUCAGGAACACCCAGAGGCAGGACAGAGAGCAGAAGGGGAGGACUUGCUUCUGGGAAGAAACAGAGUCACACAAGUGUCAGCUGUGUCCCCGCCAAGCUUGGGCUGCUGGCCACUGCGCUUCAGCUGUUCCCUGGCUACCUCUGUC
rnacentral:lncRNA from 1 species